AUGGACGGGGGCCAGAGCGUCGCCAAGCGGCACGGCGCGGCCGCGGCCGCCGGCGCCGAGGAGGACCCUGAGCGGCACCGUGCUCUACAUGAGGCGGCGGAUGAUCACGAUGGUGGCGACAAGAAGGCGCCUCGCCGGAGCAGCAGCAGGCGGGUCGCCUCCCUCGACGUCUUCCGUGGCCUCACCGUCGCUCUGAUGAUACUGGUGGACGGCGCCGGCGGCGAGUGGCCGGUCAUCGGGCACGCGCCGUGGCACGGCUGCAACCUCGCCGACUUCGUCAUGCCCUGCUUCCUCUUCAUCGUUGGCAUGGCCAUCCCCCUAUCCCUCAAGAGGAUCCCAGACCGCAGCCGGGCGAUCAGGAGAGUAGUCAUAAGAACACUGAAGCUGCUUUUCUGGGGGAUCUUGCUGCAAGGUGGCUACUCCCAUGCUCCAGAUGAACUCACCUAUGGUGUUGACAUGAAGCACAUAAGAUGGUGUGGUAUCCUCCAGAGGAUUGCCCUUGCAUACUUGGUGGUUGCAGUUAUGGAGAUCGCAACAAAAGACGCGAGGGUUCAGGAUCAGUCAAGUUCAGGCUUCUUCUCAGUUUUCAGGCUGUACCUUUCCCAAUGGAUUGUCGCAUGUUGCAUUCUCCUGAUCUACUUGUCCCUUGUUUACGGGAUUUACGUUCCGGACUGGGAGUUCACGGUGCGAAAUGUCGACAGCCCAAACUAUGGCAAAGUUUUAACAGUGACCUGUGGCACAAGGGGAAAUCUGAGCCCUCCUUGCAAUGCUGUAGGUUACAUCGACCGUAAAGUUCUCGGCAUCAAUCACCUGUACCAGAAACCUGCAUGGAGGAGGCACAGGGACUGUACUGAUGAUUCCCCACACGAGGGGCCUUUCAAAAGGGACGCCCCGGCCUGGUGUGCCUCGCCAUUUGAACCUGAAGGCUUACUAAGCUCAUUUUCUGCGGUGUUAAGUACGAUCAUCGGCGUACACUACGGGCACGUGCUUGUUCAUAUGAAGAGUCACAUGGACAGGCUAAAGCAGUGGGUCACCAUGGGCAUAGCUCUCCUCCUCCUCGGAAUCAUUCUGCACUUCUCUCAUGCGAUUCCUCUGAACAAACAGCUGUACACGCUCAGUUACAUCUGCGUGACCGCCGGCGCCGCUGGCAUCGUCUUCUCCAUGCUUUACUUCCUUGUCGACGUCGUGAGCCUGCGUUAUGUCUUCGCACCACUGCGGUGGGUCGGCAUGAACGCGAUGCUGGUGUACGUGAUGGCGGCGGCCGGCAUCUUCGAGGGUUUCCUCAACGGCUGGUACUACGACGGGACCAACAACACGCUGGUUUACUGGGUGAGGAAGCACGUGUUCGUCCGGGUGUGGCACUCGGAGAGGGUGGGCAUCCUCCUCUACGUCCUCGUCUCGCAGAUCCUGCUCUGGGCGCUCCUCGCCGGCCUCCUCCACCGGGCCGGGGUCUACUGGAAGCUGUAG
rnacentral:rRNA from 1 species